CUAGAAUACGACAAACAAGUUAUUUUAAUUAAGCAAUUUUCUUCCAUCAAAUAUAUUUUCCUGUUGAUUCAUGUGAGCGAACAUUAUUUUCUAUGUAGCUAUUGCAGCAUUGUCAGUACACUUGUUCAUGAAAAUGUAAAUUGUACAAAUUCAUUCUGCAUCAUGACAGCAUCUUGCAGUCUGCGCAGCAUGGAAGGUUCAAUGAACUGGAU